GUUAUUUAAUCAUUUGUUGCAUAAGCCAUGACUGCCUAGUUACAUAUGUAACAUCAAGCUGCAAACCACUAUUUACAAAUCACAGCAGCUGAAUUCACACAUCAAACCAAGGCAGAAUCAAACUAUCCACAAUAUUGCAUACUACAAGGUGUGCGUGAAGCAGUCACAGGCUUUCUUUCUCAGGAGUAAGGAGGGCCUGGCCAAGGAUGGCUGCCAGCCUGCUUGCAUAUUCUAUUUCUCUGAGGGGCCUCCCCCUUUGGGCACUGCGCAAGAGAACCGGCUCUGUUUAGUCACCUUGCCCUUUCUGGGUGGCUUGGUGGGUAAGAGUGGGUUUGAUGGGGCUAAUUCCCAGGUCUCGCUGUCCAGGGGAAGAGUCCAGGUGGGCAACGGAAGGGGUCACCAACACAUCUUCCUCAAGAUAAAGAUCAGGAAGGACCAGCCACACACAGCAAAGAUAAACUGUGGGACUACUGUUACCAAAGGUCUGGAGGAUACAGAUUAUCUCAAUCUCCAGUCUGGAUUCAGGGCCAAGCACAGGACAGAAGCCACAUUGCUCACUCUCAUAAUUUCCGCAGGCCUUCUCAUUCCCCAGGAUGAGAUUUCCAACUGAAGAAUUACAGCAUAUUCUACUUCUGAUCACCAUUUCAUUGCUUCAAACAGAAUUGGAGGAAAGGAUGAAAGAAAAAUAUAAAAAGAUGGGAGAAAAUGUACCCCUGAUGCCAAAGAAAAUCUAAAAUGAAAGCAGAAGUCUCUAUGAACAUCAUUUAUUUUAUUGUACUAACUUCAGGGAGAAAGAAGAUAAAACUUUUCCAAAGCAAAAUAAGUAAAAUACCGAAAAUGUUGAAAGCAACUAUUAAAUGUUAAUUCUCAUUGUCAUA